CAUCAAGACAGAGGCUUGUUUGUGCAAAUAGCCUGGGAUCAGGCUAUGAUUCCUGGAUCAUUUCUCUCCUUGCGGAAGUUGGGGGACAAGAGCGAACUCUGUGACAUCUCGGGGAUGCAGCAGGUUCCUGUGGCCCCUAUGUCGAGGGGAAGGACUGAGAGGCAGCAGGGAGAGGAUGUGAAGCAGGACCUGGCGACGAAAGGGGGGCCCUACCGAUACCCCCACUCAGGAGGCUCAGAUGUGUGAAACAAAUCCCAAACCCUCUGUUAUGAAUUUUUUUUGUUGGCACGCGCAGGAGGAAGUGAUGGACUGGUUCUUUCUGGAGAGUGGCUGCCAACCCCAAGCAGCCCCCUGCGGCCCCCCAGCCCCUUGACCAGCGUUUGUUCCUAGCAGAAGGGCUGUUUGUGUGCUGUUUGGGCUCCUUUUCUUUGUUUUAAGUGUGGCUACAAUCAGCUGCUGAGAGGCUCACUGCUCCGGUUCGUUCCCUGCCAAUUUCACUGAGAGCUGGCACCACAGGCGGCUCCGGAGGCAACGAAGAGAGGCUGGAGAGGAUAGAUCAUGGAGGGGAAAAAAUGGACACAUGCCAUCGACGGAGCGGCGAGGCUGCCAGAAUGCCAGCAGGCAGCAUGGGGCCAAAAAAAAACCACCCCACACAGAGCAGAAAAGAAGCUGGCAGCCCAUCUCGAAGCAGGCGGUGGCUGAGUUGGGAGAGGUGCCAUGGAGGACGGGCUGCAGCGAGCAGGCAAUGCGGGAAAGAGAGAGAGAAAAACAGACAGACAAAUUGGCAGAGGCAGCACAGGUAGCAGACGGCGAAUCGGGAGAGGAAACAGAUGCAGCCCGGCUCCAAAGGGAUCCCUGUUCAUCGCUGGCUCUCACUGGGUCCAUCACACUGAGGAUGCCAUUUCUCCCACCGAGAGAGUACAGAGCUUUGACUGUAGGAUAGCUACGCAGCAGUCCAGUGAGAACCUCCACCGUCCCCCCAUGAGCCCUCUCCCACUGCACGCACUGAACUGCAUCAGCGUCCGCUGGCUUCGGGAGCUCGCAUACGCUGCUCUGAGAGAUGAGGCCAGGCCAGGUGCUUUCCCCUUCUCGUAGGAAUAUUCCUGGAUUUUGGCUCUUUCACUGGGAGGUGUAGGAGGAACCUCCGAGGCCUCAGCAGAGGAUGUCUUACAACAGCCAGGCGGCAGUGCCCGAUGUGUCUCUCCGCACGUCGCCAGCUGGGUGUAACGGUGCACGUGCGGCGUGAGCACACGGCACUGGGCCGCGGAGUUAGCAGUGUGCUGGGAGGAGGGCGGGUUAUGUGCUUGCAGGGAUUCAUCCAUUGCUGCUCAGCUAUUGCCCGGGACACUUGGGACAGCCCUCUGGAACAUGGGAAUGAGCACGAAGGCCUCCUGGAAUUUCACAAACAGCUCCUUUGGCACCGGGUCAUGGCUCAGACCAGCACAGGGGCCUGGUGAGAACAUGUCAGGGCGCGUCCAGGGAAGGGGAAAGCAAUGGUGAGUCGUUAUUUAUAUGGCACCAUCACUAUACACGGAGCUUUACAAACCCUGACAUCACAAGGGGCCCCAGCAAGGAACUCACAGUCGGACUGACAGCACGCCAGGCGGGGAUGGCCAGCUGCGAGGAGUAGUGGGCUCACAGCUGGGAUCUGAAAGGAGGGUCACAGAACCCGGGAUGAUCAUCAUCCUUUGUUAUUUGCUUCUCAGUAGUGUCUGGAGACCCCAAACUGAGACUGGGCCCCAUCGGGCUAGGGGCUGCACAAGUCUCAGUUCUGGUCCCGGUCUCUCGGAGCUUACAUAAGACAGAUAAAGGAGAGGGGACACUGAGGCAUGGAGCACCCUGGGUAACACAGGAGGUCAGUGGCAGAGAACCCACAUCUUCUGAGCCCCAGUCCAGAGCCCUAUCCACUGGACCACGCUGCCUCUCACAGACUCAACUCUGAUUCCUGAGCCACGCAUACAAAACUGCUCCCACCUCCACUCCAUGUUGCCAGAUCGAAUUCCACUGUCCACAGCACUGGGGUGGCCAUGCAGAUACCCCCGUGUGUUCAGUUCUCAGCCCUCUGCUGCACCUCUCACAUCAGGCCCGGCUCUGA
ensembl:lncRNA